rnacentral:lncRNA from 1 species
AAAGGGAGACAAUUGUGCAUUAGCUACAAGUGAAAGGACAAUUUAGACAUUUGGCUACUCACACAAUGGGUAAUAAUAUAUGACAAGUUGGAAAGAAAGGACAAUUCAAUUCUCACUCUUCUUCUCUCCUAAAACCAGCGCCCUAUACCUUCUCCAUAAACAAAACUUCAACUUCUUCCAUUUGAAGUGAGUAAAAGCUUUGCAUGUUUGAUCCUCUCUUGUAUUUAUAUCAUUAUAAAAGAAGAAAGAAUCUAUUUUUCCCUUUUCUUCCUCCUUCUCUGUUCCGAUUAGAUCCUUCAUCCCACCAUAACCAUAAGCUUCAAAUCUUCUAUCUACUCAACCUCUCACAAUCAAGCAAAUGUAAGCAUAGAAUGCGCAUACCCAUCAUCAAUGGAAGCUAUUAAAAGUGGUUUAAAGCUCUGAUUUUCCCUUCCUUCUGUCCUGGCCGAAAUCACCUUCAACCAUAAACCCCAAUUUAAUUCUUCAAAAUCUGUGUAUGCAUGCAUGCUUUCCACUCAACCCACAAUCAAUUGAACUCAUUAGAAGAAGCGCCAACCUUUGUGUCUUGGGGUUGUUUGUCUUAUCAUAACCCUUUAUGCCUAAAUUGCCUAAGCAUCCUUGUGUUUUG